ACACUCUGUGGCAUGAAGUGAGGUAUUUUCUAAAAGCUUUUCACGGUUCCUCAAAAUAGAUUCUGUUUACGAAUUUCACAAAAAAGUUGUCUUACUGACUUAUUCUCGAAACGAAUUUCACAAAAUAGUCAAGUCGCACAGACCUAUUUUGCUGAAAGCUCAGCAGCGUCUGUGGUGUAGCGAUUAUUCGCUUCUCUGUCGCUAGGCCCUAGCUGUCGUUUAUUUACUCUUUUGAAGUCAAAAGCAUUUCCAAACCUGAUAUUUUGAAAGUAACUACGUAAAACACUUCAUAAAAAUAUGUGGACGUUUGCUGGAGCAUCAUAGGCUGGCACAGGACUAGUCAGGCCAAGAAAUAAUGAUUGUAUGUCGUGUAUCCCAUCAUUUCAAAUUUAUCAAGAAAUCUCUCCAAGCAUUUAUUCAUGGGAAACAACUCGCCUGGUCAAUUUGGAGGCCUCGGCUAUUGUAUUUGUAGCGGUUAUUUCCCUGCCUUCGGUGAAGCGUAAAAUCUUAUUGAUUGCUUCCCUUGUUCCAAUGAGCUGCCAGAAUCCAGAACCGGAAGUCUUUUACAAUCAUGUUCAUAGAUUGUGUUGGGCGAGUGUCCGACUGUGGAAGUGUAAGCACUGGAACGAGGUAGAUCAAGAUAUCAGUUGCGUAUUUUACAUACAUAAUACUUUGUUUGUGAUCGCAUUGAAGGAGUGUGUAAAUCGUAAUUCAUUGCUUUUGUUGAUGUACCGGCGGCCAGGAAGAUCGCAGGAACCCGAAUUGCAGGAAGAGAAAGAAGGAAGAGGCCACAGCUGAAUAGUCAGUCAAGGAAACGCUCGGCGAGGGGCACCUUCGUAGACACUUCACUGACCAGGAGUACCGGAUUACCCUGCCCAGUGCGGAUUAACAGACUUUCGACUUAAUUGGUUAAUGGCAUACUAAUGACCAGACGGGCCGGUGGCCGCUUGCGUGCAGUGGAAUAGCCGGAGAGCCCUGAUCAUCAAAGCCGGAGCUUGGUAAUAAAUAUUCCAGGACACACACCGUAAAGUAACAGACAGGAAUAAGGAGUUACCUGGUUUUGCAGGUUCACCUAGAAUAACGGGUGCGAUUGUUCUCGGGGUUUUUGCUUCCCAUGGAAGCUGGCAGCGACUUACUUCUCAUCGAGUGAACUCCAGUCGUGCCCAAGUCUGUAACAGUUUGCCUGGGGGAACCGUCUCGUGAGGUAAAUUAUUAUCAUUAUUAUUAUUGUUG